rnacentral:rRNA from 1 species
CCCAGACUCCUACGGGAGGCAGCAGUGAGGAAUAUUGGUCAAUGGUUGGGAGACUGAACCAGCCAAGCCGCGUGAGGGAUGAAGGUACAGAGUAUCGUAAACCUCUUUUGUCAGGGAACAAAGGCGGGGACGCGUCCCCGGAUGAGUGUACCUGAAGAAAAAGCAUCGGCUAACUCCGUGCCAGCAGCCGCGGUCAUACGUAGGAUCCGAGCAUUAUCCGGAGUGACUGGGUGUAAAGAGUUGCGUAGGUGGCAUAGUAAGUAGCUAGUGAAAUCUGGUGGCUCAACCAUUCAGACUAUUAGCUAAACUGCUAAGCUCGAGACCGUUAGGGGUAACUGGAAUUUCUAGUGUAGGAGUGAAAUCCGUAGAUAUUAGAAGGAACACCGAUAGCGUAGGCAGGUUACUGGGACGGUUCUGACACUAAGGCACGAAAGCGUAGGGAGCAAACGGGAUUAGAUACCCCAGUAAC